UAACUAAACGCCUGCUCCGUCCCCCCCUCCCUCUCUUGGGAUAGAUAUACUAACGUGAAGCUGUUGUGUAUCAAUUUAUUACAAUAAAUAAUAGUUAAAGCAUUCAGAUUGGUAUUAAUUAAUUACCAUAUGCUACCAAUAAACCCACUUGAGCACCUGGGUAUCACACUGGCGACGAGGCGGUUACGAAUCUACGUAAAACUAUGGCGAAGUCUGUG